AACGAUUUUACUCAGGCGUGCGUUUGGCCAGCCUAACCGUGCGGGGGACCUAGCCGGCGGCCCCGGAACAUGUAUUCGACAUACUCGGUUCCUCCGGCGAUUGCGUGUGAGCCGUCACUCAGUCUGGUGUGUGUUUUCUCCGCACGGUUGUGACGCACAUGAUUUAGGAGACGAUGUCGAACCCGUACGAGAAGCCCCAGAUCAUAGCGCACAUACAGAAAAGCUUGAACUACACGGUGUUCGACAGUAAAUGGAUCCCGUGCAGCGCCAAGUUCGUGUGCAUGGGGAGCCUGGCGAGGGGAGCCGGCGUCCUGCAGCUCUACGAGAUCCAGCGCGGAGAGGUUCACCUGCUCAAGGAGAUUGAAAAGGCGAAGCCGAUCAAGUGCGGGACCUUCGGCGCCACUUCUCUACAGCAAAGACAUAUAGCCACCGGGGACUUUGACGGGAACCUCAGUGUUUGGAACCUGGAGGCUCCCGCAGUUCCGGUGUAUUCGGUGAAGGCACACAAGGAAAUUGUGAACAGCAUCGACGGGGUUGGGGGUCUGGGCAUCGGGGACGGAGCCCCUGAGAUCGUCACUGGAAGCAGAGAUGGGACAGUAAAGGUGUGGGACCCCAGACAAAAAGACUCGCCGGUGGCCAACAUGGAGCCGGUUGACGGGGAAGCCAAACGGGAUUGCUGGACUGUGGCUUUUGGCCACGCGUUCAAUGACCAGGACCGGUGUGUGUGCGCCGGCUAUGAUAAUGGGGACAUAAAGCUCUUUGACCUCAGAAACAUGUCUCUGCGAUGGGAGAAGAACAUCAAAAAUGGGGUGUGCUGUGUUGAGUUUGACAGGAAGGACAUCAGUAUGAACAAACUGGUGGCAACGUCGCUGGAAGGGAAGUUUCACGUCUUCGACAUGCGGACGCAGCAUCCAACGAAGGGCUUUGCGUCCGUUUCGGAAAAGGCACACAAGUCGACGGUGUGGCAGGUCAGACACCUCCCUCAGAACCGGGACGUCUUCAUGACCACAGGAGGAGCCGGAAGCCUUCACCUGUGGAAAUACGAAUAUCCAGCGCAGCGCUGUAAGAAGGAUGCCGACGACGUGGACAUGGGCGUCGCCGGCACCGUGACCCUCCUGCAGAACGUCACCCUGUCCACGCAGCCCAUAGCCAGCCUGGACUGGAGCCCCGACAAGCAAGGACUGUGUUUGUGCUCUGCCUUCGACCAGAGUGUGCGCGUGCUCAUCGUCACCAAGCUCGGCCGGCUCUGAGCAUCAGGUAACCUUUGCACUGGAGCAUCACGUGAUAUUGCGCCGAUGGACAGACGGUGGACCCUCCAUCUCACCCUAUUUUGCUGACUUCUUAAUGUAUAUUGUGUAAUGUAUAUUACUUUUGUUUACACGUGUUUUACUACCCUGCAAGAAGAGCUGUGUAUGAAUGAAGAUCCCGUUAAUUAAAGUAACUCCACUCAUCCUUUAUAUAACGUGGUCCCAAAAACGAUGUCUACUGAAAAUGUAUAUUCCCUUUGUUCAUACAACUGACUUAUUCAUCCACUACAACAGUAUUUUUGCCAGUUACACUGACUUUACAUUCUGUACAAGAGACUGACUCCUUGGGACAGAGAAGGAUGCUUGAUGUCUAAAGUCAGAAGGGUUUCAUGCCAUUAGCAUCAGUCUGGCUGUUUUCUGUAUCCAGGAACAAAAAUAUUUUCCUGUACAAAUAAUGUUAAUUUGGCCUCCUCACAAAGGACAUUCACCAAAUGGGUUGAUUUAAUGAAGAGAAUUAACACCUUCAUGUGAGGACUGGGUGUCAUUUCACAGGCCAGUAGAUGCCAUAUUUCUGUUGUCUUUGAGGCAGGAAAAAAGGAAGUGAAAAAUAAAAUGGUGUUAAAUUUCAUUGCAAAGGAAAUGACAGAUGACAUGGACUUGAAGAAUAAAAUACAUCUACACAGUCUACCCUGCACAGCAACAUUCAGUUACUUGUUUUGCUGAAAUGCACUGAAAUGAAAAAUUGCGUCAUUGUAUCCACCAUUUGAAUGAGAGAGAUUCUGGAAGUUCUGAAGGUAUCUGCAUAUACAGAGGGUGGCAGAUUGUGCCUUCUGUAGGAUCAACCAUGGCCUGCGAUGAUCUAGAGGAGGAGUGCUUUGGAGGCACUUGAGGACAACAGUUCCCUAGUUUGACUGAAGAGCCCUACUGAUGGUCCCUGGCUUGGUACUGCAGCUCACCCUCUGCUGGCUGUGAACUUCAUCUUUACACCAUUAGAUGGAAAAAUUUGUUAUAAAUAAUUAAAAUUUCCAGAGUUAAGAGAAAUAUAUAUGGCCAUAACUCUAGGCUUCAUUUCCUUCUGGAAACAGCUGUCAAAGAAGAAGUCUUUGACAGCCCUGUGAUUUCCUGGUUAAUUGAGCUUUUGUUGGGUUUUCCAGCGGUGGACAAUCUGCAUGUAAUGAAAGCAGUGUAAGAGUUUACCGCACCUGCUGCUCAGCUGGACAUUAGGGCUAGCUAGAGUCCACUGCCAACAGGUCCUUUAAGAAACACCUCUGCCUGGCCAACCACUUCUGCUGCCACUGCACAUCUGAUGGAUGAUGAACAAGAAAAAUGCAAAAUACUGAUGCAGAUGUCUCAGUACAAGUCUUGACUUGAGCGAAAUGGAAAAAGCUGAAUGCGCAGCCGGAAGAAAUCGACUGUGUUUUCUCCAGAAAGGAAGAGGGACCUGGAGACAGAGACAUGCCGAUAAUGAGCAUGGUGCUUCAUUGUGCUUACUGGGUUGGUCCGUGCUUGGGGGUGUCCUCCAGCCUGCCACUCACCCUUUUUUUUUUUUUUGGAGAGCAGGUCCCAGUCAGUGUGCCAACUGAGCCUGGUCGAGGAAGCAAAGAGCCUGGCUUCUGCAGAGAGAGACUGGCACUGCAGUCUGCCACGAGGUGGAGAAAGAAGCAUUAUGUCCCCACUAUUUUCAGUCAGAGUGAUCCUAAUGCUGUUUCUGGGUCAAAAUUCCUUUCACACCCAGAAAACACUGUCAUGUUUGAGCUUGUCGAGUUUGCAUUUAAUGGUGUGUGACCUGGUGGAGGGAACAGUGAGGUCACCAUCUUCUGCAGGACAAAGAGCCCCCUACAUGGGGGGAUGGACUUCAGCCUGAAGGCCGAGGCGUAGUGAGCAACAGCACAGCCUGUUCUGGACUGGCUGUCCACGUGCCGCAUCACAUGACCUGGGUCCACCCACACAGACAACGCUGUUGGGAUGCUGCCAUGGCGACGAUGUAACGUCUUCAUUUGAAUGUUGUUCUCAAAGCUUAAUAUCUGUAUUAUAUUUACCACAAGUCAGCUGUACUGUUUAUGACUAAAUAAAGACAAUGUACGUA